rnacentral:misc_RNA from 1 species
GAUGAAGAACGCAGCGAAAUGCGAUAAGUAGUGUGAAUUGCAGAAUUCAGUGAAUCAUCGAAUCUUUGAACGCACAUUGCGCCCCUUGGUAUCCCGAGGGGCAUGCCUGUUCGAGCGUCAUUUCACCACUCAAGCCUGGCUUGGUGUUGGGCGACGUCCUCUUUGGGGACGCGCCUCGAAACGCUCGGCGGCGUGGCACCGGCUUUAAGCGUAGCAGAAUCCUUCGCUUUGGAAGUCGGGGCCCCGUCUGCCGGAAGACCUGCUCGCAAGGUUGACCUCGGAUCAGGCAGGGAUACCCGCUGAACUUAAGCAUAUCAAUAAGCGGAGGA